rnacentral:lncRNA from 1 species
GCAGAAGGCAGCAAUAGGGAGAGAUGGAGGCAAAUUUCCUGCACUAAAUGNGGAAAAGAGAGGACUGGUAAUUGGAUGAAAAUAAUGCAGGAAAACAGUAAAUAAGUGACACUGCAAUCUAGAUCUGGCUUGGAAGAUAAGGGCAAGGUGGAGAACACCCCAGCAGACCAAGAAGUAAUCUUAGCUGAUCAGCCAGAAAGACCUAAUGGUGCAUUCAGUUCUUCGAGGAGAGAGUGAACGACCCUGAAGGAAGAAAGAGAAAGUCAAUGUCUCCAAAUGGAUUGUGCCUCCUAUUUACAGUGGCAUUUGGGGCAAGCCAUCCAUAAGUCCCCACGGAAGCNUAAACAUGCUCCAUGGUUGUUGUUUUUCCUUCUCCCCUUUCUCUGCAAUAACAGGAUGUAGCACAUGUACAGUAGCGAUGGAAGGAGAGACUGCUCUGCUUCUUACCUUCAUGUCAUUUGGGGCCUGAAAUCUCCCCAGAUGCUUUUUAGUUCACAAGGGGAAAUGGCUACAUCUCCAGUUACCAAGUACAGAUGUGCACAAACCUAA